rnacentral:rRNA from 1 species
AUGCAGUUUAAGGAUUCAAGUAGCGAUUGCAACCCAAAACAUUGCAAAGAAUCUGCUACCAGAGGCUUCAUUAUGCACAUCUUUUCUUUUUACAAAAUGGAGUCUGAUCUGCUGUCAUCACAUCAACAGGUAUGCCUACAUCACCAAUGUUUGUACAUCGACAUUUAUUCACACACAAAUGAAGAUAUUCUAAGGUUAGAACGAACAUCACCUUCAACACCUGGUGUGUAUCGUAGUUGGGUGACAGCAGAUUGCGCAGUGGCCUCUCGGCGGUGUGAAAAUCCGGCAGAAGAAAUCACCUGA